GACAGAGGGUGCAAACGUUAUUCGGAUUUACUGGGCGUAAAGCGCGUGUAGGCGGCUUUGCAAGUCGGAUGUGAAAGCCCACGGCUCAACCGUGGAAGUGCAUCCGAAACUGCAUGGCUGGAGUCUCGGAGAGGAAGGUGGAAUGCUUGGUGUAGAGGUGAAAUUCGUAGAUAUCAAGCAGAACACCUGCGGCGAAGGCGGCCUUCUGGACGAUGACUGACGCUGAGACGCGAAAGCGUGGGGAGCAAACAGG
rnacentral:rRNA from 1 species